GGGGUAGAGGCGCAAAUCAUCAUUAGUAAUCAAUGUGAGGAUGACAACAGUGAACAUUGAUAAAAGGGAGAUUUGCCGAAGCAAAUAGGUACGUCAAUAUUUAUUUGUUGGGGUUGCUCUAAAUAAGAGUAACACUGUCAUUAUGGAGGUAUAUUAACCAUAAUGGGGAGCUACA
rnacentral:ncRNA from 1 species